UACUCACCCCCAACCCUGUGUCCUGUUCUCAUUACAGGGGCCGCAUGGAAGCUCCUGUCAGGCGUCCGGGAAGGCCAGACGCAGGUAGACACACCCCAGACAGGGGACAUGGCUUACUGGUCCCACCCCAUUGACCUGCACUUUGCUACAAAAGGUCUCCAAGGUACGUACAGGAUGACAGGAAGGGAAGGGGCAGUCAAACUAGGAAGAGCUGGGCUUGGAACACCCUGGCCGUCUCUGCUCCCCAUACUUUGUGGGUCCUUUUUCUGGUGCAUUUGAGGCUUCACUCGAGCUAUGCAAAACCCUACCUAGGCCGUGGAAUGUGCCAGAGGUCGGGGUAGAGGAGAUAGCAGGGGGAGGGGGGUCAAGUGGCAGAGGAGAAGGCAGUGAGGAGGCCGGGUAGGGUGAAGAGAGCUGGAUGGGAAGGCGAGGGACAGGAAAUGGGCCAGUUGCCGCUGCUCACACACGGACAGAGGUCCUGCUCAAAGGGGAAGUGAGUGUAGGAGGGAGGAGGUAGCAUGGCAGUGCUGCUUUGCUGGGAAGCUGCCCGGGUAUUUCAGCAAUGUCAGUCAGUUGUCAGUUUGCUGAGUCUGUGCCUGCCCAGCUUGAGAAGGGAUGUC
rnacentral:lncRNA from 1 species